rnacentral:rRNA from 1 species
GUGAGGAAUUUUCCGCAAUGGGCGAAAGCCUGACGGAGCAAUGCCGCGUGAAGGAUGAAGGCCUAUGGGUUGUAAACUUCUUUUCUCAGAAAAGAAUUUUGACGGUAUCUGAGGAAUAAGCAUCGGCUAACUCUGUGCCAGCAGCCGCGGUAAGACAGAGGAUGCAAGCGUUAUCCGUAAUGAUUGGGCGUAAAGCGUCUGUAGGUUGUUUAAAAAGUAUUCUGUCAAAGAUUAGGGCUUAACCCUAGAUAGGCAGAAUAAACUUUUAAGCUAGAGUUUGGUAGAGGCAGAGGGAAUUCCCGGUGGAGCGGUGAAAUGCGUAGAUAUCGGGAGGAACACCAAAGGCGAAGGCACUCUGCUGGGCCAAUACUAACACUGAGAGACGAAAGCGAGGGGAGCAAAUGGGAUUAGAUACCCCGGUAGUCC